CGCCCGUGACGUCACGGGGCAAGCCCCGCCCCCUCCCUGGGCCAAACAAAGAGGCGCCAUUCCUAUGAGCAACUGGAGUUACUUCCGGAGUGAGAGAAUUGGCUGUCUGCAAGGACGUUGCCCAGGGGACAUUGCCCGGAUGUUUUGAUGUUUUUACCAUCCUUGUGGGAGGCUUCUCUCCUGUCCCCGCAUGGAGCUGGAGCUGACAGAGGGAGCUCACCCGCACUCUCCCCGGGUGGGAUUUGAACCUGGCAGCCUUGAGGUCAUGCAAACUGCAGUAAUGAUUUGGCUGCCCGGAUGAGUUACGUGGAAUGAACUAUGAACAUGUCACCUGAGGAUAGUGCAUACGUGGAGCAAACCUUGGACACUUCACCUGAUGUGAUGAGUAAUGAGUUAU